UCCAGAUCAGCCAUUCAGUCCUAGACUUUACUUUCCUGCUUAGGAUUCCCAGGUUGCUCUCCUGUGCAGGGACUGGAGGUCCCUAUGGAGAAGGACUGGCUCCUGAACACCUGGAAUAGCACCUGCUAUAAAGAUCCUGGGCAUCAACACAGAGGGCCUGUGUCUGAGAGGCAGAAGUCAUUUCAAGAGGAUGAACCCUUAUGCCAAGGCAGAUUUUCCAGAUAUAUGUGCAUUUAAAGGGAGCACAGGAGGCACCCACUUUCAACUAGAAUAGAAGUUCACCAUCACAGGUUUGAGCUGUCACUUGUUUGAGCAUUGCAGAAAAGGAGGGGAACCCUGCAAGAGUUUGGUUAUGCUUUUUCAACUCAAUCAUCACCUAACUUACUGAGCCACAGGGGAGUCGCCACAGCCUGAAACUCUCACCAUCCAUCACUCCAUGUGUCUGUGAGGGUCCUAGGCCAUUUCCCUGACUGAGCAAUAUAGUGGGUGAGCCCAGGCUUGGAGGAGAUGUGUGCAAGGUCAGUGCCACUGGGUCCAGUGCCUUGCUGGGUGAUCCUCGAUCAAGUGAUUGAACAUGCUUCCAUGACUUCCCUGGCCACUAGACCUGGUGGGAACCAAUAGGUUAUUGCAGAACAGGUGUCACCAAAAUGCCAGCAUGACUGGUGCAGUCUGAACAAGGAUGACAUCACCUAGCAGGCCUGGAGGGUAGUGUGGGCUGUCGGUUUUCAGCAGGGGUACUUGCCCAGGAAGGAGCUGGAACACUCAGGUCAGAUAUGCCAUGCCCAAAAACACUCUCUCCCCUUCCAGUUGGUGAACAAGUUGACAUUGUAUUCCUUGCAAAUAACAGGCCCCAGGGGCUGCCUACGUCGAUCUUCCCUCCUAAUAUCACAGCUGAGCCCAGGCUUGUCUUCAGUCUAAGUCAGGAAGGGCCAGGACCAAAAGUUCACCGGUUGCCAUGGGCACCAAGAUGCCAUGCUGCUGUCAUUCUGCCUUUCUGCAACAUCACCAGGGAUCUGCUCAGUGGCCAGGAUGUCACAGCAUACACUCAUUGGGACCCAAGACUCCUCAGGCCUAGAAGCAACCCCUGGUGAGAAAAACCAAGUGCCAUCUCCUAAAGGAGCCUGGAGUCUCCAUGUCCUUCAAUCUCAACUGGCUAGAUGCCAACCUGUUCCACUUGGAAAAUGUAGUUAUCUCAUGACUUACCAUCAUUUCACAGGAGCAUUGUUACAAACCUAGGCAUUUCUUUGAGAAGCAGCUAAAACAGUGUAGCAAGAUUUUGGAUGGAAGUGAAUGACAGCAUGGCAGUAGAUAUCACAGAAAAUGGGUUUAGAAUCCACAUAAUUAAAAUGAUCCAUGAAAAAAAAAGAUAAGAGAGCAAUUUCAGGUAAUGUAUGAUCACUCCA